AGGAGCGGCCUGGCUUUGUCUGAGUCAGGCAGCCCAGCGUGUGGGAUGCCAGGCUGGAUGUGCUGGGCCUGACCAGCCGCCCGCUUUCCUCUUCUCUUGCCUCUGCCUGCCCCCUGGUGGACAGCUGGGGUAAAGCAUGGGAGUGCGCCUUUGGGGUCUCAGUGGGGCUGAAAUACGACUCCUCCCCUAGGACAGCCUGCCUUCCCCAGCCUUGUUCUCCGGCAAAGUCAAUUUCCUGGAGAAUCGAGGCUCUGCCUCAGAUGUUCGGAGCCUCCGCAGGAUGAACACCUCCAUUUCAAUUCCAGGGGCUUUGAUCAACCUGUGCCUCCCUUGAUCCCCAACUUGUGGGCACCUUCCCUUGAGCAGUGCCCCCACGAGGUACACCUUUCCCGGGAAACAAAAAUCAUUCCUUCUUUGGGUCCUGCAAGCUGUAAAGAACCAAUACAGCACUGUGCUACUGAACAUGUUGCCACUAUAGAAGCCCCUUGUGUUUUGAAGAGUACAUCUCUAUAGCCAUUCGUUUAUUCAUCAGAAACCAGCUAGAAGCCAGGCCCUGUGCUGGGCGCUGGAGACAUGGAAGAAACUGGGCUGAGGCUCCCGCCUUGAAGAGCUUGUGGCCCAGGGAAGGGACAGUUCAUCUGUCAUUGAUUGCCACGUGACAGUGUCUAUGAUGCUAAAAAGAUGCCAGUGCUGUGCUGCAGGAGCAAAGGCCGUGGAGGAAGAGGCUUUGGCUUUGUUGCGAGUCCUUGCCAGAGCCAGGCAAAGCCAGUCACCGCUUUGUUCAGAUGACUCAGGUAAAUAAAUGAGGCCGCACAGGCUGUCCUGACACCACACACCUCUAGAAUACCCUGGCUGUGCUGGGAGCUAUUGGUGUCAGCUGAGUAUUUUCAUCCCUGUCCAAGUCACAAUGAUCUGACUGUACCAGCCUGUGUGGAUGUUGCUAAGAGGAGGCAGACAGCACCAUGAGCUCCCUUAGAUGACGAUCGGCAUGAUGUUCCUGCUGUGGCAGCGCUCAGCUCUUGCCAAUGCUCUUCUCUGCUUUGCUCACUUUAAGCCUCCCUUAAUUUUUUUGAAGCCCAGUUUCCACAUUGCUGAUUCACAGAUAUGCAAGACUCAGGCAGGAAAAAAAAAAGGUAAUUAUUUCAAAUGACUCAGGCGCCCUCCUUGACUCUGGGAUCUCUGUACAGACUUGCACUUUAAAAGCUGAGGGUAAUGAUGUUGUCAUUUGUAUAGGAAAGGCUGGAAGAAAAACACAUUAGUGUUCUUCCAAACUCUUGACUUUUGGAAAAAAUUAGCAUAGAGAGGAUGGAUGCUCAGCCAUGGCCUGACAUCGAAUGCCUAAUGCAGAGGUGAAGACACCUGCACAGUCCCAUGCACUGGCGAGCUUCCUGGGGACAAGGGCAGUGCCUUGAUCACCUCUCUUCCUCGUGCAGUAAAUGUUUGUUGGAUGAAUGGUUGUCAACUCUAGUCCUGUCAGUCCUCCCUGAGCCC
rnacentral:lncRNA from 1 species